rnacentral:rRNA from 1 species
UGCCCACUGAUAAUAAUUAAAGGGCUGCAGUAUUUUGACUGUACAAAGGUAGCAUAAUCAUUAGUCAUUUAAUUGAUGACUUGUAUGAAAGAUUGGAUGAGAUAUAAACUGUCUUCAUUUGUAAUUUAUAGAAAUUAAUUUUUUAAUUAAAAAGUUAAAAUAAUUUAAAAAGACGAGAAGACCCUAUAGAGUUUUAUUUUUUAAUAUUUUAAUUAUAUUUAUAAAUAAAAAAUUGAAUUUUUAAUUUAGUAAAAAAUUUUAUUGGGGUGAUAGAAAAAUUAAAUUAACUUUUUUUAAAAUAAAACAUAAAUAAGUGGUUAUUUGAUCCAAUAAUAUUGAUUAUAAGAAAAAAUUACCUUAGGGAUAACAGCGUAAUUUUUUUUUUUAGUUCAUAUAAAAAAAAGAGUUUGCGACCUCGAUGUUGGAUUAAGAUAAAAUUUAAAUGUAGAAGUUUAAAAUUUUGA